rfam:Schistosoma mansoni, Puerto Rico, WGS project CABG01000000 data, contig: 0076
AUCCAGCUGACAAGUCUCCAAUAGGACGAAACGCGCGUCAAACUGAAU